GCCGGUGUAGCUCAGUUGGUAGAGCAGCAGACUGAAAAUCUGCCUGUCGUUGGUCCGAUUCCAAUCGCUGGCA
rnacentral:tRNA from 2 species